rnacentral:rRNA from 1 species
UACGUAGGGUGAAAGCGUUGUCCGGAAUUAUUGGGCGUAAAGGGCUCGUAGGCGGAUUGUCGCGUCGGGAGUGAAAACACCGGGCUUAACUCGGUGCUUGCUUUCGAUACGGGCAGACUAGAGGUAUGCAGGGGAGAACGGAAUUCCUGGUGUAGCGGUGAAAUGCGCAGAUAUCAGGAGGAACACCGGUGGCGAAGGCGGUUCUCUGGGCAUUACCUGACGCUGAGGAGCGAAAGUGUGGGGAGCGAUCAGG